UCGGCUUUAUAUUUUUUAGCCUUCUUGCCCAUGCUGUAAGACACACGUGGGACGUUAGAUAGCUGGUUAAUUUUUGCCGUUAUCGCCGAAAUUUGGUGUUUGGGUUAGCUGCUUAGGGUGCAGGAUGCGUCUCUCUCGGGUGCUGCCCCCCCCCCAGUAAUUGUCUUUAAACGGCAAUAAUAUUCCCAGUAAUGUAACUGCAG